CUUUGUGGAGCUGGGAGGACACAGCUAAAGGAAGAACUUGCGACUUGGGUCACAGAAAAUCCCUUUGAACAAAAGAGAACCUUGUGCAGGACUUGAAAACUACAGAAGAGAACCAGAACAGAAGAGACCAGUGCACCCACAUUUUCCUGCCGUGAGUGAUGAAGAGGAGGAAGAAGAAGGUGAGUGUGUCAAGGAUAAUAACCUGUGAUGCCGAAGUGUGCUGCACUAUUAAUUCGUGACUUGUCAUUUGCAUUAUGAUGAAUUGCCUGGUGUGGAUUGGCAGGAGGCUGUCUUAAAAACGAUUCCUUGGGAAUUUCAGAAUCCUUUCUUUUUUCUUUUUUCUUUUUUUUUUUUUUUUGUCUUUUUGCCUUUUC
rnacentral:lncRNA from 1 species